rnacentral:rRNA from 1 species
AGAGUUUGAUCAUGGCUCAGGACGAACGCUGGCGGCGUGCUUAACACAUGCAAGUCGAGCGGGGUCCAUCCGGUGGUAACACUGGUGAAGACCUAGCGGCGAACGGGUGCGUAACACGUGAGCAACCUGCCCCGAAGUCUGGGAUAACACCGGGAAACCGGUGCUAAUACCGGAUAUCCCCACCGGACCGCAUGGCCUGGUGAGGAAAGAUUUAUCGCUUCGGGAGGGACUCGCGGGCUAUCAGCUUGUUGGUGGGGUAACGGCCUACCAAGGCAUCGACGGCUAGCUGGUCUGAGAGGACGACCAGCCACACUGGGACUGAGACACGGCCCAGACUCCUACGGGAGGCAGCAGCAGGGAAUAUUGCGCAAUGGGCGAAAGCCUGACGCAGUAACGCCGCGUGGGGGAUGACGGCCUUCGGGUUGUAAACCCCUUUCAGCAGGGACGAAAUUGACGGUACCUGCAGAAGAAGCACCGGCCAACUACGUGCCAGCAGCCGCGGUAACACGUAGGGUGCGAGCGUUGUCCGGAUUCAUUGGGCGUAAAGGGCUAGUAGGCGGCUUAGCAAGUCGGGUGUGAAAACUUCAGGCUCAACCUGGAGCGGCCAUCCGAGACUGCUAUGGCUAGAGUCCGGUAGGGGACCACGGAAUUCCUGGUGUAGCGGUGAAAUGCGCAGAUAUCAGGAGGAACACCGAUGGCGAAGGCAGUGGUCUGGGCCGGAACUGACGCUGAAUAGCGAAAGCGUGGGUAGCGAACAGGAUUAGAUACCCCGGUAGUCC